AGUGGCGAACGGGUGAGUAACACGUGAGUAACCUGCCCUUAACUCUGGGAUAAGCCUGGGAAACUGGGUCUAAUACCGGAUAUGACUGAUCAUCGCAUGGUGGUUGGUGGAAAGCUUUUUGUGGUUUUGGAUGGACUCGCGGCCUAUCAGCUUGUUGGUGAGGUAAUGGCUUACCAAGGCGACGACGGGUAGCCGGCCUGAGAGGGUGACCGGCCACACUGGGACUGAGACACGGCCCAGACUCCUACGGGAGGCAGCAGUGGGGAAUAUUGCACAAUGGGCGAAAGCCUGAUGCAGCGACGCCGCGUGAGGGAUGACGGCCUUCGGGUUGUAAACCUCUUUCAGUAGGGAAGAAGCGAAAGUGACGGUACCUGCAGAAGAAGCGCCGGCUAACUACGUGCCAGCAGCCGCGGUAAUACGUAGGGCGCAAGCGUUAUCCGGAAUUAUUGGGCGUAAAGAGCUCGUAGGCGGUUUGUCGCGUCUGCCGUGAAAGUCCGGGGCUCAACUCCGGAUCUGCGGUGGGUACGGGCAGACUAGAGUGAUGUAGGGGAGACUGGAAUUCCUGGUGUAGCGGUGAAAUGCGCAGAUAUCAGGAGGAACACCGAUGGCGAAGGCAGGUCUCUGGGCAUUAACUGACGCUGAGGAGCGAAAGCAUGGGGAGCGAACAGGAUUAGAUACCCUGGUAGUCCAUGCCGUAAACGUUGGGCACUAGGUGUGGGGGACAUUCCACGUUUUCCGCGCCGUAGCUAACGCAUUAAGUGCCCCGCCUGGGGAGUACGGCCGCAAGGCUAAAACUCAAAGGAAUUGACGGGGGCCCGCACAAGCGGCGGAGCAUGCGGAUUAAUUCGAUGCAACGCGAAGAACCUUACCAAGGCUUGACAUGAACCGGAAAGACCUGGAAACAGGUGCCCCGCUUGCGGUCGGUUUACAGGUGGUGCAUGGUUGUCGUCAGCUCGUGUCGUGAGAUGUUGGGUUAAGUCCCGCAACGAGCGCAACCCUCGUUCUAUGUUGCCAGCACGUGAUGGUGGGGACUCAUAGGAGACUGCCGGGGUCAACUCGGAGGAAGGUGGGGACGACGUCAAAUCAUCAUGCCCCUUAUGUCUUGGGCUUCACGCAUGCUACAAUGGCCGGUACAAAGGGUUGCGAUACUGUGAGGUGGAGCUAAUCCCAAAAAGCCGGUCUCAGUUCGGAUUGGGGUCUGCAACUCGACCCCAUGAAGUCGGAGUCGCUAGUAAUCGCAGAUCAGCAACGCUGCGGUGAAUACGUUCCCGGGCCUUGUACACACCGCCCGUCAAGUCACGAAAGUUGGUAACACCCGAAGCCGGUGGCCUAACCCCUUGUGGGAGGG
rnacentral:rRNA from 1 species